rnacentral:lncRNA from 1 species
GCCGGGCGGCCGGGAAUAGGUGGGGGGGCAACUUCCUGGGGCCGCCCGUGAGGAUGUCGCGACUGCCCCCCGGUGCCCCUCAGCCCCGGAGACGCGGCCGCGGCGGAGCCCGCAGCCCCCCUGCCUGAGGCGUCUGCGGCCCGGAUCCGGCCCCUCCCCUCCCCUCCCAGGUGCGGGCCGGACAGGCGGCCUCGGCAGGGCUGCUCCAAUGGCAUAUGGAGGUUCCCAGGCCAGGGGUCUAAUCGGAGCUGCAGCUGCCAGCCUACACCAGAGCCAUAGCAAGGCGGGAUCUGAGCUGCAUCUGCAACCUACACCACAGCUCACGGCAACUGAGGCCAGGGAUCGAACCUGCA